rnacentral:lncRNA from 1 species
AUGGAACCUUUUUGUAGGGAGAAGGGCAGGAUGUUUUUAACAGAAUGUGACCUCACUGGAAUACUAGAGAAAGCAAUAACAUUUCUGAAUGGGGCAGUGUGGAGAAAUCCUAAGAGAAAUAGCAUAAGAGCAUUUUGGAAUAUAUCCCGGAAAAGAUAACUUUCUACACAUCUGUAGACAUUUGCCAGGUUAAGGUAAGAAAAAAAAAAGAAUAUUGUUAAAAGUAGAUUUAGAUUAUUUCACUACGUCACACUGGGUUGAACUUUGGGAGAAAAACGAACCACUGAUGCAGGAUGGAUGAGGGGGGAGUUAGGAGGGUCCACCUUUUGCCCCUCCCUCUCUCGGGCAUG